UACAGAGGUCUCAACCGUUGUUCGGAUUCAUUGGGCGUAAAGGGUGCGUAGGCGGUCGUGCAAGUCGGAUGUGAAAUCUCAGGGCUCAACCCUGAAACUGCAUUCGAUACUGCGUGGCUAGAGUGCUGGAGGGGAGACUGGAAUUUACGGUGUAGCAGUGAAAUGCGUAGAUAUCGUAAGGAAGACCAGUGGCGAAGGCGAGUCUCUGGACAGCAACUGACGCUGAGGCACGAAGGCCAGGGGAGCAAACGGG
rnacentral:rRNA from 1 species